CUUCCCUCUCUCUAAACUGAGUCCACAGUGUCGCCUCCUAUUUUCUUUGGUUUUCUCAUUUCUGGGGUUUAAGGGCUUGUGAAGACUGAAGCUUUGCUUUGCUUUUCUGGAGCAAAAAUGAAGACUCUCUCCCUUUAUGAUAUCCUUCUCCUUCUUCUUCUUCUUCUUCUUCUUCUUCUUCUUCUUCCUCUUUUAGUAGCUUCUGCUUCUGUUGAUAAAGAGGCUUUCAUUGGUGUAAACAUUGGUACGGACCUCUCAGACAUGCCUAGUCCAACUCAGGUGGUGGCCCUCCUCAAAGCACAGCAGAUUCGACAUGUCCGGCUAUUUGAUGCUGACCGAGCUAUGCUGCUGGCACUUGCUAAUACUGGAAUCCGUGUAACUGUUUCUGUACCAAAUGAUCAGCUUUUAGGGAUAGGCCAGUCCAAUGCCACUGCUGCCAACUGGGUUUCUCGGAAUAUUCUUUCUCAUGUUCCAGCCACCAAAAUCACUGCCAUAGCUAUUGGAUCUGAAGUUCUCACAACUCUUCCUAAUGCUGCUCCUAUCUUGGUGUCUGCAAUGCAGUUUAUUCACUCUGCUCUUGUUGCUACAAAUCUUGCUUCCCAAAUCAAAGUCUCCACUCCACAUUCCUCUUCUAUCAUCCUAGAUUCUUUUCCACCUUCACAAGCUUUCUUUAAUCGAUCUUGGGAUCCAGUUGUGAUUCCCAUGCUGAAAUUUUUGCAGUCCACUGAGUCGUAUCUCAUGCUCAAUGUUUAUCCUUAUUAUGUUUAUAAGCAAUCCAAUGAUGCAAUCCCAUUGGACUAUGCUCUUUUUCGUCCCCUCCCACCUAACAAGGAAGCCGUCGAUUCAAAUACACUCCUACACUACACUAAUGUUUUUGAUGCUAUUGUCGAUGCAGCAUAUUUUGCUAUGUCCUACUUGAACUUUACUAAUAUUCCAAUUACAGUGACCGAAUCAGGUUGGCCUUCCAAGGGUGACUCAGAUGCUACUCUUGACAAUGCUAACACUUAUAAUAGCAACUUAAUCAAGCAUGUGCUUAACAACACUGGGACUCCUAAACACCCUGGGAUUGCAGUCAGCACUUACAUUUAUGAGCUUUACAAUGAAGAUCUAAGACAAGGCUCUACUUCAGAAAAGAAUUGGGGACUCUUCUAUCCCAGUGGAGCACCAGUCUAUAUCCUACACUUGACAGGAUCUGGGACUGUGUUGGCAAAUGACACUACAAACCAAACUUACUGCGUCGCAAGGGAAAAUGCAGAUAAAAAGAUGGUGCAAGCUGCUUUGGAUUGGGCUUGUGGACCUGGCAAAGUGGAUUGCAAUCCUUUGUUACAAGGGAACCCUUGUUAUGAACCCGAUAGUGUCUUUGCACAUGCAUCAUAUGCUUUUGAUGCAUAUUAUCACAAGAUGGGAAUGGCAGAUGGAACAUGCAACUUCAAUGGGGUGGCUACAGUAACUACCUCAGAUCCAAGUCAUGGUUCUUGUAUAUUUCCAGGAAGUGGAGGGAAAAAUGGCACCGUCACAAAUGGAACCACUCUUGCUCCAUCAUCAAACUCAACAUCGUCUGGCUGUCAUUUACAAUAUACCCGUGAAAAUCAAGCUUUUUUGAGCUCUUUAAUUGUUGGUUUGAUACUCCACUCUGCAGCUUUCUGGUGAAAUGAUGUGGAUUACACUUUGCAUAGCUAAUGUGCAAGCAAGUUUUUUACAGCACCAAUUUGGUUUCACUUUCUCUGUAACUUAUCCCUAUUUUGUUCCUCCAAGUAGGAUUAAGGGGUGGCAUGAUCUUUUAUAACCUAUGCGGCAAAUCGCAUUGAGUUGAGAGUGCUCUCAAUUGGUUUGUACGUAGGAUCAAGGUGAAGGAGUUUGUGAUGGGAUACUCUCAUUUGAUUUAUAUACAGGCAAUAACUUGAAAGAUCCACUAUUUAUAUGGUAUUCGUGCUUGAAAAGACCAUUGCUUCUAUUGUAUAUUAUGGCUUGAAGCAGAAUCAUGGAUGGAGGAGGGUAUGUUGGAACUGUAAUAGGUUGUUAGUACUAAUGAUGGGUGCAAGAGUGAAAACGCAUCCAUUUAACUAUAGAAUUUGUGAAGAAACCUCAAUAAAUGUGAAGUUUUACAAUGCUUGCGUAGAAAUCCGGA